rnacentral:lncRNA from 1 species
UGGACGCUCAAAAAGCAAUUAAUAAUGCUCCAAGAGCUGUUAAGGAUGCUUCGGGAACGCUUCACAGAGAAAUGCUUCACAGGAAGCACGCUUCACAGAUGGGACGCUUCACAAGCUGGAUUUAACAACGCUUUAGGCUCUGACUUUUAAGGAUGCUCCGUGAGUUAAUUUUAAAACACUGAUGAGCUGGUGAACUGAUGAACUUCACGAGGUCUGUUAAGUUUUUUGGUUCAACAGUUUGCGAGAAUGAGACACAUGUCGGAUCUCUGAUCUUGGGGCGCGUAGUUCAGCCGCUGCGAUGGCACAUAGCUCCACAAUAUUGACAAAAGUUGAAGUCGUCGGGAACGGAGAACAAAUUGUUCACGCCUAUCUCAACAAACUGCACGUUGAGUGACGCCUCAACAUCACUUCCGACGAGUUAAAGCUGAUCAGAGUAUUUGCAACUAUCUGAACAGCGCCGUUCGGCGGUCACAGCUCCGAUUUUUUUGUCUAUUGUAGAGAUGAAAAGUCUAUGUGUGUGUUUUACAGAUCUGAAAAUUUUCUCGAUCUAGCACUCUCGUCUUCCUCGCUUUCCAUUGCCAGAAAACCUCGUCCUGAAUUUCGUUUUCAGCGCUUGCCACAACUCUAUGGAGCGAGGCGGCAAGUUGUUGAACCAUUCAAGCGCUGUACUCUUGAGGCAUGUACAAUAGAAACGACACCUUGCUAUUUCAGUGUGUCCAAAAAAGCUCAUUCUUGCAUCGAACAUAUUGAUAAAGUCCAACGGAUCAGUGGUUCCAUCGAACUGCUCAAUCGAGGGUAUUUUCAAAUGCCUAUCUAUUUUCGCAUUCUCAAUAUCCUCCGAUAAUGGACUAUCACCGGGGACCUCUAAGCCUCCAGACCGCGUCUUCACUAAUUCCUUGAGAGCCGUUAUUUUGGCUCACAACUUCACCACUUCUGACGAAUGACCUUUACUUGAGCAAUCCUUCUUCAAUUCCUCAUGCUCCGAACAAUCAUCUGCAGAUGCUUUCUUCUUGCGUCAAAACGAGCUAUACGAGCCAACCGAAUCCUCCCUUCUAGAGCGUUCACUAUACGCUAAACCUCGAAAGGAGGGUUCGUAAUCCUCUGUUGGAUACUCGGAUGAAGCAACAUGCUCAUCCUUCUUUUCGCAAAUUUCU